GGUCCCGUAGUACAAUGGAUAGUAUAAGGGUCUCCGAAGCCCUGGAUACAGGUUCGAUUCCUGUCGGGACUA
rnacentral:tRNA from 1 species